rnacentral:tRNA from 1 species
GCUAACUUGGCCGAGCGGUCUAAGGCGCCGCACUCAAGUUGCGGUCUCGAAAGAGGCGUGAGUUCGAACCUCACAGUUAGCA